CCUCGGGCAGGUCCCGGUCCCUGCCGCCCGCCGCCCCCGCGGCCUUGGCCCGCCUCCAGGGGAACCUCGAUUUUCCAAAUUCGGGAAGGCUGGCUGCUGAUAAGGACGGGAGCGCAUGGUGAACGAGCUUAACAAUGCCCGGAAAGAAAUAGCCGGGCCGAGAAAGAACUAAUAAUAGCCGCCGGCUCGAGCUCUGCCCGCCGGCUCCGCGCUCUGAGGAACAAUAAUGACGACAACAACCACAAUAGCCACCAUUUAUUGCGCGCGCGCUCUGUGCCAGGCACGGUGCUGAGCGCUUUGCAGGCGACAACCCUCGGAGACGCUGGAUUCCAGUAAAUGGAACUAUACUUCCCAUUGGUCCCUCAGGAGCCUGAACCAGGAAGUCAGACCAAGAUGCUGUGUGACCUUGGGUGAGUUACUUCACCUCUCUGAGUCUCAGAAAACAAGGUAAUCUUAGUACUUGCCACACAGGGUUGUGGUGAGACAUAAAUCAGAAAACUCACAGAAAGUGCUUAACUCGAUUCAGGGACGUGAUAAACACUACAUUGCAUGAAUGCUCCCUACACAUUGUGCCUAUUCUCUGC
rnacentral:lncRNA from 1 species